GGCGGUUCCUUGGUGGUCCCCUGAGGAUCUCAGGACAGAUAAUGUGUGCUCUGUGAAUUGAACACAAAAUAGUUCUUCAGUUUUAGAUUUAUUUAAAUGCUGUGAAUGUGUUUCAGAUUUCCUUUAUCCCUGAUUAUGCUCUUUUAGCUUGUGUUAGGUUGAUCCACACACCAGCCGUCUCCGUGAUGCUCUCUGAGACAUACGCUCUGGAGCGGAGAAAGGUGGAGGAGGGGAGUUGCUCUUGUAAUUGAGCAGAGAGUGCUGCUCGAUGAGAGAGAGAGAGGAGAGACGGAUGAGGAGGGAGAAGAGAGAAGGACAAUAACGAGAGAAAGGAGUUUGGGUGGACGGGGAGAGAGGAGGGGUAUUUUUUUAUUAUUAUGGUUGAUUUGGUUCAUCGAAGGUCAGCAGCAAAGACACUGGUUAAUAAAAUGGUAUUAAAUACAGAGUAUAUUUGUGUUAUUUAACAUUUAAUUAUUGCAGGUUUGUAUAAUGAGUUUGCGUUUCACUGUUUUUAAUGUAGAGGACUACUGUGUUUGUGUGCAGCGAGAUGAGUAAACACAUGUUCAUAUUUAGUCUAGAACUACAGUUACAGUAAGAUCAUGUUCAAACACAACGCUCUGCACUUACUCCUGAUUUCUGUCACCAUGGCAAC
rnacentral:lncRNA from 1 species